rnacentral:misc_RNA from 1 species
UCUUACGUUCUGAUAGUUCUCCGCGACAGUUUAUGCUUACCUCGCGUUAGGAUCCCUCAGCGAAUUGGGGCUCUGGUAGUCCGAAGUAAUCCGAUGACCGUUCUGCUCGGCGGAUCUAGCGGCAACGUGCUGCUCGGACGGUAUUCUCUGUAGCUCGUUUCUGGUUGCUUCGAUGGACGGUACUCUGGCGAGGGCGGCGUGAUGGGUGUCCGCCGUCC